GGGGUGAUAGCUUAGUGGUAGAGCUCAUGCUUAACAUGCAUGUGGUCUUGGGUUCAACCCCCAGUACCUCCA
rnacentral:tRNA from 1 species